rnacentral:lncRNA from 1 species
ACAGGGCCGUGCUCUCUGCAGUUCCGGGCACCCAUUGCGUUUCUUGGAAUGUUCCUCUGUAGAUGAGGGAGGGUGUCUAUUGCAUAGCUAGUAUCCUUCCAUUUUCUCCAGCACAAACUGUGUAUGUAUUAAAUAUGAGUAACAUCCUUCUUGGUCCCCAUGAUAACCCAUGCUCCACUUUGUUCUUCAGUGAAGCUUCCCCUUCUAGGACUCUCAUACAAUUGGAGUCUGACAGUACGCUCUAGGCUGGCUUGCUUCACUCAGCACAUGCCUUCCAGAUCUGUCCCUGUUGUAACACAUGGCAAGAUUCCCUUUCUAACAUUGCUUUGUCUUUUGGUAGUUUCAUACAUGAGUACAGUAUGUUUAGAUCAUAUCUCCCUUCUACCCCCCACUUGUGAGUCUCUUCCCUCCCCCUGUUAGAAUGUUGGCUAGCUUGAUCCUGUGCAAGUCUUAUGUUGGCAGCCAUAGCUGCUGAGAGUUUGUGGAUGCGACGACCCUGUCAUUUCUAGGAGACAGUAUUUAGCAGCAGUCCUCCAUGACUUCUGAUUGUUACAGUCUUUCCUCCCCAUUAUCCCUGAUAUACCCAUAGCCUUGUGGGAGACAGGCUCAAGUUCCUUCAUAUUUUUUUAACGGUAAUAUUCCAUUAUACAAAAGCCAGUUUAGUUUAUUGAAGAUGCUUGGACACUUUGGGCUAGGGUGGGCAGAGCUCUUAGGAACUCCUUUAUACAACUAUCUGUUUAAAUAUCGCCCUCAGUCCCUUUGAAAAUUUAUCUAGGAGCGAAAUGGCUGGGCCUUAGAAUGGCUCCACAUUCAACCUUUUAACACUUGUCAAGACUGUGCUCUUACAUUCACGCUGGCAGCCUGUGAGAGUCAACUUUAUCGUAACCAUUAGCCAAUAGCAGUUGUCUUCCCUUUUCCUUUCUUUCUUUCUUUCUUUCUUUUUUUAUUUGCCCUUAGGUUUUAGUUUUAUUUAAAAAGAUUUGUUCUUAAUUAUGGGUAUGUGUCUGUGUGUGUGGUUAUGUGCACAUAUGAGUGCAGGUGCUGUCAGAAUCCAGUAGAGGGCGCCAGAGGGCGCCGGACUCCCCCUAAAGCAAGUAGCAGCUAUGAGUGCUGGGAACCAAAUUUGGGUCUUCUGUAGGAGCAGUCUGAACUCUUCACUGCUGAGCCAUCUCUCCAGCCCCUGCCUUCUUAGUUUAAAACAGUGACAUCUUACUGUGACUUUGUUUUCUAUUUCCCUAACCAUUAAUGGUGUCAAGCAUCUUUUCAUGUGAUUUUUGUUGUUGUUCCCUCAUGUCUUCAUCUUCUUUGAAGAAAGCACCAUCCAGGUCUAACACUCCGAUGCCUUGUCUCUUCCCCACUUUCCCUUGGCUUGUGGCUACGUUCCAGCAACUCGAGUUUCAAGGGCACUAAUUUCCUCCGCUGCUCUUUAGAAUUUGAGGUAAAAAGAAAACAGUAAUUGAAACAGACAGUCGUUAUUUACAUCUGGGAGGCUGGUAUUACACACCCUGAUGCUCUUUCAUUAGCUGUAUUAUAUUCUUAUUAUGUGUUUUACUAGGUAAUUGUAAUCUGUGGCUUUGGGAUUUUCUAGCUUUCUUUUUGGUUUAUUUUUAUAAACAGACAACAGCAUGAGUCUAAAAGAACAGGGCCUCAGUAGG